rnacentral:lncRNA from 1 species
AAAGACGACGCGCAAUUUCUGCCGGCCGCUCUGCAUAAAGACCGGCGGGACCUCCUCGCCGCGCGCCAAGUAAUAGUUGAGCACAAAGGCGUGAAUGACGGCACCUAGGGCCGAUAGGCGCAGGGCCUUUUUCGACUGCUGCUCGAUGACGACGGCGUGCGGCCGUCGGCCCAGCAGCCGGUCGGCCCUGGCCCACAGGUAGGCCGUGAGCCGCUCCGUAAGUACCUUGAGCGGCUCCUUGGCGCCGCGACCCUUGGCUUUGGGCGGCGGCAGGGGCACCGGCUCGCCCGGUCGCCGACGACGCGUGGGUCCGGCAGUCGCGGCAGCGGCAAUGAUCUCGUCGUCGGUGGGCGGACCCCCCGGCGGAUCGUCGCGCAUGAUAUUGUUUGCCGCCAGAGACUCGAUGGCAAAGUCGUCGGCGCCCGUCAAGGUCACCACGGCAUAGGCCAAGUUGACAAUGCCCACGUCAAAGGCCAGCACGCGGCGUGUCGCCGUCGGAUCGGUCGGGAACAGUCUCGUCGGCUUUUUCCUCGCGACAAUGGGCGUCCCACCAUCGCCGUCUUUGGUCUUGCUCGGCGCCUUGCGCGCCCGCUUGGGCGGCGGCUUGGACAGCGGCGCCUUUUCCGAGGCCGGUGGCGGUGCGCCGCGCUUGCGCAUUGUUUUCUCCUUUUUUUUUCAACGCUUCUUGUCUUUUUUGCUUACGCCUCUGUGCCUUGUCUGGGAACCCAGAGACCUUUUCUUUCAUCGUCGAGGGCACCGGCGUGCCCGCGCGUCAACAUGUCGUGCAGGCCCUGUCCCGAAAAGACCUACAACAACAACGUUUUCGUCCGUCGGCGUCAUCGAGCCGAUGCCAGUUUUUCUGUUGCUGCAACACAGGCGGGAUAGCGACAACACGGUCGAGCCUAGCCCCUCUCCCACCGGCCGACGGCAAGAACGGACGCCCCGGCAAGAGAGCCCAAACAAAGGAAUGAAAACAAAACAAACAAUAAAAAAAGGGGGAUAAAUCCAAACACG